CCUUUGUACACACCGCCCGUCGCUACUACCGAUUGAAUGGCUUAGUGAGGUCUCCGGAUUGGCUUCGGGGACUCGGAAACGAGACUCUGUUGCUGAGAAGCUGAUCAAACUUGGUCAUUUAGAGG
rnacentral:rRNA from 1 species